rnacentral:rRNA from 1 species
UACGGGGGGGGCAAGCGUUGUUCGGAAUGACUGGGCGUAAAGGGCGCGUAGGUGGUCAACUAAGUCAGACGUGAAAUCCCUCGGCUUAACCGGGGAACUGCGUCUGAUACUGGAUGGCUUGAGUUUGGGAGAGGGAUGCGGAAUUCCAGGUGUAGCGGUGAAAUGCGUAGAUAUCUGGAGGAACACCGGUGGCGAAGGCGGCAUCCUGGACCAAUACUGACACUGAGGAGCGAAAGCCAGGGGAGCAAACGGG